rnacentral:rRNA from 1 species
CCUGGUUGAUCCUGCCAGUAGUCAUAUGCUUGUCUCAAAGAUUAAGCCAUGCAUGUCUAAGUAUAAAAGUAUUCUAUACUUGAAACUGCGAAUAGCUCAUUAAAUCAGUUAUAGUUUAUUUGAUGGUGCCUUACUACAUGGAUACCCGUAGUAAUUCUAGAGCUAAUACAUGCCAAGAAAGCCCUGUCGUAAGGCAGGGUUGUAUUUAUUAGAUAAAAAACCAUUACUCGCAAGGGUUUUUGUGGUGAUUCAUAAUAACUGUUCGAAUCGCAGCGCAAGCUGCGAUUGAUCAUUCAAAUUUCUGCCCUAUCAGCUCUCGACGGUAGUGUAGUGGACUACCGUGGCAUUAACGGGUAACGGAGAAUUAGGGUCCGAUUCCGGAGAGGGAGCCUGAGAAACGGCUACCACAUCCAAGGAAGGCAGCAGGCGCAAAUUACCCAAUCCUGACACAGGGAGGUAGUGACAAAAAAUAACAAUACCGGGCGCUUCGCGUCUGGUAAUUGGAAUGAGUACAAUUUAAAUCCCUUAACGAGGAUCAAUUGGAGGGCAAGUCUGGUGCCAGCAGCCGCGGUAAUUCCAGCUCCAAUAGCGUAUAUUAAAGUUGCUGCAGUUAAAAAGCUCGUAGUUGAAUUUCUGGUACGAUGUGCCUGGUCCACGGUCGCAAGGCCGCGCGUAUCGGAGUACGUCUGCCAUCCUUCUAGUUAACUGGCUUUACUUAACUGUGUGGUCAGCAACCUAGAUCUUUUACUUUGAAAAAUUAGAGUGUUUAAAGCAGGCUCGCGCUGUGAAUACAUUAGCAUGGAAUAAUAAUUUAGGACUUUGCUUCUAUUUUAUUGGUUUCUAGGGGUAAAGUAAUGAUUGAUAGGGAUAGUUGGGGGUGCUAGUAUUCAUCGGCCAGAGGUGAAAUUCUUGGAUUCGAUGAAGACUAACUUAUGCGAAAGCAUUCACCAAGGAUGUCUUCUUUAAUCAAGAACGAAAGUUGGGGGAUCGAAGACGAUCAGAUACCGUCGUAGUCUCAACCAUAAACUAUACCGACUAGGGAUUAGUGGAAGUUGCUAUAUCGACUCCAUUAGCACCUUAUGAGAAAUCAGAAGUCUUUGGGUUCUGGGGGGAGUAUGGUCGCAAGGCUGAAACUUAAAGGAAUUGACGGAAGGGCACCACCAGGAGUGGAGCCUGCGGCUUAAUUUGACACAACACGGGGAAACUUACCAGGUCCGGACAUAGUGAGGAUUGACAGAUUGAAGUUCUUUCUUGA